CAAAGGUUUGGUCCUGACUUUCCUAUCAACUCAGACCAUAUUUACACAUGCAAGUAUCCGCACCCCGAUGAGAAUGCCCUCAAUUUCCAGGACUGGAAGAAAGGAGCUGGUAUCAGGCACGCCAAUCGCUUUAACGGCAGCCCAAAACGCCUUGCUUAGCCAUACCUUCAAGGGAACUCAGCAGUGAUAAACAUUAAGCCAUUAGUGAAAACUUGACUUAGUUAAGGUCCAACUAGAGCCGGUAAAACUCGUGCCAGCCACCGCGGUUAUACGAGAGGCCCAAGUUUAUAGGCACCGGCACAAAGAGUGGUUAAGAGUACUCCACAGUAAAGCCAAGAUUCUCCUAAGCUGUCAUACGCAACCGAAGAAACAAAGCCCCCCCACGAAAGUAGCCUUAUUAAAUCUGAACCCACGACAACUAAGACACAAACUGGGAUUAGAAACCCCACUAUGCUUAGUCAUAAACUUUGAUAGCACUAUUUAAACCUAUUCGCCAGGGGACUACAAGCGCCAGCUUAAAACCCAAAGGACUUGGCGGUGCUUCAGACCCACCUAGAGGAGCCUGUUCUAAAACCGAUAAUCCCCGUUCAACCUCACCACCCUUUGUCAACCCAGCCUAUAUACCACCGUCGUCAGCUUACCCCGCGAGAGUCUAAUAGUAAGCAAAGUCAGUACUACUCAAAACGUCAGGUCGAGGUGUAGCACAUGAGGUGGGAAGAAAUGGGCUACACUCUCUAAUACAGAGCAUACGAAAGACGUAAUGAAACGUACACCCAAAGGAGGAUUUAGCAGUAAACAAGGAAUAGAGUGCCUCGUUGAAACUGGCUCUGAAGCGCGUACACACCGCCCGUCACUCUCUCCAAGUUCAUCAAAUACAUUAUAUAAAACAUUAAUAGAACUAAGGGGAGGCAAGUCGUAACAUGGUAAGUGUACCGGAAGGUGCACUUGGAUAAAC
rnacentral:ncRNA from 1 species